rnacentral:rRNA from 1 species
CCUACGGGAGGCCGCAGUGGGGAAUAUUGCACAAUGGGGGAAACCCUGAUGCAGCGACGCCGCGUGAGUGAAGAAGUAUUUCGGUAUGUAAAGCUCUAUCAGCCGGGAAGAAAAUGACGGUACCUGUUUAAGAAGCCCCGGCUAACUACGUGCCAGCAGCCGCGGUAAUACAUCGGGGGCAAGCGUUAUCCGGAUUUACUGGGUGUUAAGGGAGCGUAGACGGCAGCGCAAGUCUGAAGUGAAAGGCCGGGGCUUAACCCCGGAACUGCUUUGGAAACUGUGCAGCUAGAGUGCAGGAGAGGUAAGUGGAAUUCCUAGUGUAGCGGUGAAAUGCGUAGAUAGUAGGAGGAACACCAGUGGCGAAGGCGGCUUACUGGACUGUAACUGACGUUGAGGCUCGAAAGCGUGGGGAGCAAACAGGAUUAGAUACCCCUGUAGUC